UGCUAAUCAAGUUGUGCACUGGACCAGAAACAAAACAAAUUGGAGGGAGGUUUGGAGCAGAAGCAACGGAGCUCAGAGCGAUCAACUGACCGACACUGAUGGGACUCUGAGCAUUAAAGAGUUUACAGCCAAUGAUGCAGGAACAUACAGAGUUCUGGACUAUGAAGGAGAAAUCUUGAUCACAGUGACAGUUACAGAAUCAAAGGAAAAAUACUACAACACAGAUGAUGACAAAACUGAUAACACAAGACAACACUCUGUUUGGUUUUGGAUUAUGAUUGUUGGAUUGACUAUAGUUCUGCUGGUUCUGGCUUUGAUUAUGCUUCCUGUCAUCAAGAAGCAAUUUCUGAAGAAGAGAGUUUCAUACUAAGGGACCCAAAUUGUAUGGGGCCCUGAAUCCAGUGAAGCCACCGGUUACUUAUGCUUUCAGAAGCAACAGGAUUCUGUCAACAUAUUUCUGCAGCUUAUGUUUAAUUUACAAAACAUAUGAGCAUUUGCACUGCACCCGUACACCAGCACUCACAGUUAAAGUGACCUAUAGACUGGUUACUUAAGGCUUACCAAUCAUAAAUCAUCAACUAGUUAUUAUUGUUACUUUUGAAUUCAUCAACUAUUGUUUGAAAAGAAAAAAAAAGAAAAAAAAAGUAUUCACAGUAAAAAUAGCAUGUAUUUUUAGCAUGCAUAUCUAUGCCAAACUGAGAAUGAAGCCUGUGCAUGCAUGUAUAUUUUGUAUUAUUUUCUUUUUACAUAUUACUAUGUAUAUUUAAUAUGGCCUUUGCAAGAGUCUUAAGCUUCUCAUAGUGUCUUCGUCAUCUACUGGAGAUUUUCUCCUUUCCACUGUUGCUUUUGUCUGUUUAAUAGAGCAUUUGCGUUAUUCUUUGUCAGUCUGCUUUGAAAGAAUGUGUAUUGAGAAAAGCUAAACAAAUUAAACGAAUUAAAUUAAAUUAAAUUAAAAAUAAAAUUUUUGUAAGAAUUAAAAAUCAG
rnacentral:lncRNA from 1 species